rnacentral:rRNA from 1 species
CCUACGGGUGGCAGCAGUGAGGAAUAUUGGUCAAUGGGCGGAAGCCUGAACCAGCCAAGUAGCGUGCAGGAUGACGGCCCUACUGGUUGUAAACUGCUUUUAUACGGGAAUAACGCGCCUUACGUGUAGGGCUUUGCAUGUACCUUAUGAAUAAGGACCGGCUAAUUCCGUGCCAGCAGCCGCGGUAAUACGGAAGGUCCGGGCGUUAGCCGGAUUUAUUGGGUUUAAAGGGAGCGUAGGCCGCAUGUCAAGCGUGCUGUGAAAUGUCCGGGCUCAACCCGGGCCUUGCAGCGCGAACUGGCGUGCUUGAGUCCGCGGAAAGCAGGCGGAAUGCGUGGUGUAGCGGUGAAAUGCUUAGAUAUGACGAAGAACCCCGAUUGCGAAGGCAGCUUGCUGCAGCGGAACUGACGCUGAUGCUCGAAAGCGUGGGGAUCGAACAGGAUUAGAUACCCGAGUAGUC